rnacentral:rRNA from 1 species
CGGGACGGGUGAGUAAUGUCUGGGAAACUGCCUGAUGGAGGGGGAUAACUACUGGAAACGGUAGCUAAUACCGCAUAACGUCGCAAGACCAAAGAGGGGGACCUUCGGGCCUCUUGCCAUCGGAUGUGCCCAGAUGGGAUUAGCUAGUAGGUGGGGUAACGGCUCACCUAGGCGACGAUCCCUGGCUGGUCUGAGAGGAUGACCAGCCACACUGGAACUGAGACACGGUCCAG